rnacentral:tRNA from 1 species
GGUUUGGUGGUCUAGUAGUAUGAUUCACCCUUAGGGCUUCUUCAAGUGCUUGGGUGAGGUCCCGGGUUCAAUUCCCGGCCAGACCC